GCUGACUGUCAGUGCAUGGUCAGUUCAGGCAGGGAAGCGGAUUCCAGGGGACCAGGGCUGUAGCUAUUACCAACAGCUGUCAGAGCUGGAAAUGUGGAAACAUCUCUGAGCCAACCUCCAUCCACUCAUACAUGAAAUCCGAAGGGGAGAGAACAUUCCCUCUCUGGAAAGAGGUUCUGACAGUACACUGGGGAUGUCUGAGGGAUACCAACAGGAGGUCAGAUGGUCCCACCUGUGGAGGGAGCCACACAGAGGCUGAAACCAUGUAGCACCAAAUGAAGAUCACAUCUGCAACACCUCAACCCAGCACCAUAGACACAGGAGGAAUGAAGGACCCCAGAGGCUGUGUCACCUGGUCCUAUCUCCAAAUACAGUCACAUUCUGGGACCACAGAUUAUGAACAUAGGAACUUUUUGACACUGGAGACUGUGGAGGGAACUCAGCCCAGGGUCUGAUUGGUGUCAGGUUCUGUACAUGAACACUAUGAUGGAGGUAAUUUCCUGCAGCUCUGGGAGCACCCAGAGAACAAAAUCAUUAACCCAUCAGGCCAGAAGGAGAUUAGGAAGUCUCCACAGAGAAGGUAAGAUGGGAAAUGGGAUUUAAAUGAAAAGAUUUCAUCAGGUACAGAAGAUUUUAAAAUAGAAAUUUUAAGUAGACGAAUCCGUGCAUGCCAGAGCUUAGAAGUGUGAAACAGUGAGCCACAUCGAAGAGAACUAGGUGAAAUGAGAGAGCAGAGCAGAGAGAUGGUUGGAAAUGAAGGCAGAAGGACCA